rnacentral:rRNA from 1 species
GAUGAACGCUAGCUACAGGCUUAACACAUGCAAGUCGAGGGGAAACGACAUCGAAAGCUUGCUUUUGAUGGGCGUCGACCGGCGCACGGGUGAGUAACGCGUAUCCAACCUGCCCAUCACUUGGGGAUAACCUUGCGAAAGUAAGACUAAUACCCAAUGAUAUCUCUAGAAGACAUCUGAAAGAGAUUAAAGAUUUAUCGGUGAUGGAUGGGGAUGCGUCUGAUUAGCUUGUUGGCGGGGUAACGGCCCACCAAGGCAACGAUCAGUAGGGGUUCUGAGAGGAAGGUCCCCCACAUUGGAACUGAGACACGGUCCAAACUCCUACGGGAGGCAGCAGUGAGGAAUAUUGGUCAAUGGGCGAGAGCCUGAACCAGCCAAGUAGCGUGCAGGAAGACGGCCCUAUGGGUUGUAAACUGCUUUUAUAAGGGAAUAAAGUGAGAGUCGUGACUCUUUUUGUACGUACCUUAUGAAUAAGGACCGGCUAAUUCCGUG